rnacentral:rRNA from 1 species
UACAGAGGUCCCAAGCGUUGUUCGGAUUCAUUGGGCGUAAAGGGUGCGUAGGUGGCGAGGCAAGUCUGGUGUGAAAUCCCGGGGCUCAACCCCGGAACUGCACUGGAUACUGCUUUGCUAGAGUACUGGAGAGGGAACUGGAAUUUACGGUGUAGCAGUGAAAUGCGUAGAUAUCGGGAGGAACACCAGUGGCGAAGGCGGUUGCCUGGAGCUUUGCUGACGCUGAGGCGCGAAAGC